GGUGCUAUAGUGUAGUGGUUAUCACUUGGGAUUUUGAAAUAAUCUUCCCAAAACCCAGGUUCGAACCCUGGUAGCACCU